UUCGGGCGCCGGCGAGUGGCGAACGGGUGAGUAACACGUGGAGACCUAUCCAUUGGUGGGGGACAACAGCUGGAAACGGCUGCUAAUACCGCAUAAUCCCUACGGGGGAAAGAUUUAUCGCCAUAGGAGGGUUCCGCGUCGGAUUAGCUAGUUGGUGGGGUAACGGCCUACCAAGGCAACGAUCCGUAGCUGGUCUUAGAGGAUGAUCAGCCACACUGGGACUGAGACACGGCCCAGACUCCUACGGGAGGCAGCAGUGGGGAAUAUUGCGCAAUGGAGGAAACUCUGACGCAGCGAUGCCGCGUGGGUGAAGAAGGCCUUAGGGUUGUAAAGCCCUUUCAGUGGGAACGAUGGUGACGGUACCCACAGAAGAAGCCCCGGCUAACUCCGAGCCAGCAGCCGCGGUAAUACGGAGGGGGCGAGCGUUGUUCGGAAUUAUUGGGCGUAAAGCGCGCGUAGGCGGUUUAUUAAG
rnacentral:rRNA from 1 species